CGCCGCCACACGCCCCUCAAGUCGCCGCAGGCCCCUCACCCGCCUCACAUUUUCCGCCAACCUCCUAACUGGCUCCCCCAGCACACUCGCCGUCGGGCUCCUUCUUAAGGCGGAAGGUGCCCGGGAUCGGGGAGGGAAACCACCGAAUUCGGUAACACGAUGGGUUUCUUCUCUCCAUAACUAACCCUUCAACCCGUCUCCAAAUGGCGAUUUUACCGCCCAAUAUCAUCUCCCCGAGAACAAAACUUGUUAACUUUUAAUCCCCGAAUCCGUGCGGCCGGCAUGUACUCCGCGCCGGGCACUGGGUUGCCCGUGACAUAUGCUCAUUAAACAUUUACAACAUGGGGACGCUCGCAACGCUACCAAAACGGGGAGCACCGGGCGGGGUGGGAAGAGGGGCUUCCCAAGGAAGGUUCAAACCAGAAACCGUCUCCUACACCAGCAUGCGGUGGGGAUCGUUUCACUGAAACCAGCGCCCACCCUCUGCCGACGAGAAUUGCUUUGGGCGGAGUUGAACCGUCCCUGGAUUGGGACUUCUGAGAUCUGAGAUUUUAUCCUGGCCCUGCCCCUUACCAUCUGCAGCAGUGACUUCCAGCUUCGUGGGCCUCAGUUUCACCAUUGUAAAAUGAAGGAACAACGUAUGACAGCAGUUUCAAACUUCAAUGUACAUUCUAGUCAAUAAAUACUUACUGACCUCGUACUGUGGGGACCUUGCAGGGUUCUAGGAAACGGGUUUGGUAUAAACUAGGCUAAUGAAGUCCCUAUCCUCAUGGAAUUUAUUCUAAGGUGGGGAAAGAGACAAUAAAAAAGUGAUAAAUUA